CUUGUUGAGUUUGGGAACUUUCGGAGGCUCGAACUUCUCAUGCUGGAUGCAACGUAGAAAUCUCUGUCAGAUUAUUACAAAUAGCUUUUCUUUCUGCCUUUAACUUCUAGGACAGUUUAUGUCUUUGACGUGGUUUAACUUGAUUUACUUUAUGAUUACUAACUUAAACACAACUGUUAACUUGAAGAGUGACUUUUUGGGUGUCAGUUGUGAUGCGGUUUUUUCAAGGGGAUGAGAAGCAUGGUUUCAAUGGACUCUAAAGAGGCGCCAGAUUGAUCGUUUGAAAUCUAAAGCGAAAUGUGAAUAGUGGAUUGUUUUGGAGCAGAUGCAAAUGGCUGAUGUUUCCUGACGGAUGUGUAAUGGCAUUAUGGAAAUCACGGACAUUCGGUGCUUUCGGUGGGAUUCAUUAAAUAAAUGGAUGAUGGUUGCAGAAGUUCAACUGAGGAGAACAUUGGUGCAUAUCUAAGCAGGAGUUCUACAAGCCUUCGGCUUCCCAAGAGGGUUAACAGGCUCUCCUGCAAGCUGGCAUCCAUAGGAUGAUGGGCCCUGCUGCCUGCCAGCUCGAUCUGCGUUGGCCAGGCUCUGUCCAUGGCUCCCUACAGUAACAGCACGCUGGGCUGGGUGGCUUGAUCCGAGGCCAACAGAUCUGCCUUUAAUCACGGAGCAGAAGCCGAACAGAAAGCUCAGGAGCCUUGCUUGGUUGCUUGCAGGAUGAUCCAGCUUGCUGCCAGCCUUGGAUUAUGUUGUAGAUGGAUCAUGAAAGCAAUGAGAUGAUGGAACUUUAAAGCAUGCUGUCGUCUUUCAAAUGUAGCGAGGAACACAGAUUUCUUGACAUGGACCAACAUGGAAGACACUGUCAAUGGCACUGAAAGACUCGGAGUACCCUUUUUAUUUGACCAGCUUAUUGUGCCAAUCAACUGGAAUAAACACAUAAAACCAUCAUGUUAUAAACUCUGGUGCUUGUUAUCCCAAGGAGAUCGUUUUUGUCCAAUGUGGCGCUUGCGAGAUUGUCAGAGCGCCCAGCUAAUGUGCAAGAUUUACUUGUCUGGAGACUGUAUGCCUGUCCUCGGCCUCCCAGCUAUUGUCAGCUACAUGUGGAGACAAGCAGCGGUUUGGAAACGCUUGUACAUCUGCAUGUGCCUCUACUUGUUUUUAAAAGUGAUGGUGUAAGGAAAGACACCCUUUCUCUCCCCGUGAACCUUCUUUCCUUCUCAAAUCCCACAUGGGUCCAUCUGGUUUUUGUUUGGCUAUGUCUGGUCCAGAGCUGCUUUUCAAACUCUGGUUGCAUUGGGGUCCAGAUGGCCACGCACACACGCAUGCACACUGUACUAUAAGUAGUGUUCAUGGGUCAGCUCUGAUGAGGAAGCCCUACCCUGUACAAUGAUCCUGAAGAUUAGUGUCCACUGGUGAAGCAUUAAACAAGUAUGAUCCAUUACCAUCCCACAGACAGCCGCCACAAAUUCAGCCCUGGAUGGGCAGCAACUUGGAGACAAACUGUACCUUUUUAAAAUGCCAGGCAUGGUUAAAAGCGAAAUCCUUGCUUCUGGUUCUGUGAGGCACUACAGAGAAUUUGCAAAUACAUGAGUCAAAUGCUGGCAAGGGCAAUUAACAAAAACCCCGGUGCCAGAGAUUGAAAUACAAAGGCAUAAUAGUGUAAGGACACGCAUUAUUGGUUGACUAAGAAACGGACUUUAACAGGACAUGGCUCAGAAGGUUUGGACAAACCUCGGAAGUCCUUUGAAGCUAGCAUGAGAAUAUAAAUGUAUAAUAAAAAAUUUUCAUCUGUAGGUGUAUCAUGUUUUAUGAUUUCACGAUAAAUUGGCAAUGUAAAUGGUGCUAAGAUGUUUGUGAGCUGCUUUGUACAUUUACAUUCAAAGUGAUUCAAGCUCAAAGUUUAUUUUCCCCAGCGUGUGUCUUCAUGGAUCAAACUCAUGACCUUUGCGUUGCUAGCAGAAUGCUUUACCAGUUAGGAACACUGGUAUACACAAAAGCCUGAUUUGUGGUUGAAGCUUUAUCUAAAAUGAGUCAUUUAAACAUGUUUCUGAUGUGGAUAAUUGUUAUUUUUAGUUGAAAUUUUGAAUGUUGACAUCCCACGAACUGCUAGCAUAAACAAUAAAUGAAAGUUAAACCCUGUGAGGUAACAAUAUGCGAGCUAUUGUUUCUGUAAUAAUCUGUUUAGUUGCAUAGAUAUUAAUAUUUUGUUUGUUUCCAUAAAGUCUGUCAUAAAUAAUAGUGACUCAUUGGGUGGGUUUGGUUUGGUUAUUUGAGCUGGUUAUACUGUAAAGCUAGGGCCAGACUGAAAGAUUUUUAAAAUCACAUCAGAUUGGCCAUGACAGCACACUGCACACCAUCAGAUUCUCUUCCCAAACAACACAAGUCUUAAACACAGGAAAUCUUGUGGAAAUCUUACAAUGUCUCUCACGGCCAAACAUUGUUUACUUUACAGUAAACAAACAUGGGGACGACAAGCGAAAACAAAUGGCAUUAAUACUGUUGACUGCUUUUUACAUCUCUGAUGUCCAUCUCACUUUGGAUUGUGCCUGCUGCACUGGACUGCAGUUGUUAGGGAGUGUGUACACCAAAGUGUUUAAACAUGGCUGAAGGUUUUUUCAGCUAAGCACUUUGAUUGUUAUGAUACUUCUGCUUUGUUUAUGAGUCUCUGACAAUGCGGCAGUUGGUUGUUGUGAUAUUGGUCCCGCCUCUCCUCCACUGUGAUUGGACGGCAGAGUGAGAAGUGACAUU